UUUAUGGAGAGUUUGAUCCUGGCUCAGGAUGAACGCUGGCGGCGUGCCUAAUACAUGCAAGUCGAGCGAACGGACGAGAAGCUUGCUUCUCUGAUGUUAGCGGCGGACGGGUGAGUAACACGUGGAUAACCUACCUAUAAGACUGGGAUAACUUCGGGAAACCGGAGCUAAUACCGGAUAAUAUUUUGAACCGCAUGGUUCAAAAGUGAAAGACGGUCUUGCUGUCACUUAUAGAUGGAUCCGCGCUGCAUUAGCUAGUUGGUAAGGUAACGGCUUACCAAGGCAACGAUGCAUAGCCGACCUGAGAGGGUGAUCG
rnacentral:rRNA from 1 species